UCCUGCAAGUAAAUUGUGACGAGCUUUAAGAGCAUAUUGUCGUAAUACGUGAAGUCUUGCUUGAGAAUGCUUUGAGCACCUAGCUGUGGAAGGAAGAAUGGAAAUUGCAAUAACAAAAUCCUAAUUCUAAUAGAAUACUAACAAUGCUCUUAUUAGACUAUAAUAAUGCUAAUCAAGCUUAAUCAAAUUCAAAACAAACUCAAAGAAAUUUCAAACAAACAAUAAAUUUUUUUAAAGAAAUAUUAAAAGGAUCACAAAUAUCACUCAAAUACAUCUCAUUUCAAUCAUAAUUUAAUUUUAGUUAAAAUCCUAUUGAACUUCAUUCAAACUUUAGGCCAAAACUAAUUGAAUCUUAAAUCCUAAUAAAAUCCUAAACCCUAAAUAAAACCCUAAAAAAACCUUAAACCAAAUCCUAACCAAAUCCUAAACCAAACCCUAAACCCUAAAUUAAACCCUAACCAAAUCCUAAUCCAAAUCCUAAAUCCUAAAUCAAAUCCUAACCAAAUCCUAAACCAAACCUUAAAUCCUAAACCAAAUCCUAACCAAAUCCUAAAUCCUAAAUGAUCCUAAAUUCCAAAUCCUAAAUCAAACCCUAAACCCUAAAUCAAAUCCUAAUCCAAACCCUAAUCUGUAAAUAAAUCCUAAAUAAAUCCUAAACCAAAUCCUAAACCUUAAAUAAAUCCUAAAUCAAACUCUAAAUCCUAAACCAAAUCCUAAACCUUAAAUAAAUCCUAAAUCAAACUCUAAAUCCUAGAUAAAUCCUAAAUCAAAUCCUAAAUCCUAAAUCAAACCCUAA
rnacentral:lncRNA from 1 species